rnacentral:rRNA from 1 species
UACAGAGGUGGCAAGCGUUGUUCGGAAUCACUGGGCGUAAAGGGAGCGUAGGCGGGUUUUUAAGUCAGGUGUUUAAUCCCGGGGCCCAACCCCGGACCGGCACUUGAAACUGGGAAUCUUGAAUAGGGGAGAGGUCAGUGGAAUUGGAGGUGUAGCGGUGGAAUGCGUAGAGAUCUCCAAGAACACCAGUUGCGAAGGCGGCUGACUGGACCCAUAUUGACGCUGAGGCUCGAAAGCAUGGGGAGCAAACAGG